rnacentral:ncRNA from 1 species
AAGACUCUGCCGCCGGGCAGAGAUGCGAAAGCAUUCCCAAGCACAUCGUUAGGCCUUAGAAGAUGUGCUUGCGAAUGCUUUUUUCGU